UACGGAUGCUCCUAGUCGAAUGGCUGG
rnacentral:piRNA from 1 species